rnacentral:RNase_P_RNA from 1 species
CCAGGGGGCCGGGCAGCCGCGAUACCGCAAGGUACCGAGGAAAGUCCGGGCUCCACGAAGCAAGGGUGGCGGGUAACGCCCGCCCGGCGCAAGUCGAGGGAAAGUGCCACAGAGAGUAUACCGCCGAUGGCGCCUAAAGCGCACAGGCAAGGGUGAAAGGGUGCGGUAAAGGCGCACCGGGGGGCUGGCAACAGUCCCCGCAUGGCAAACCCCACCCGGAGCAAGGCCGAAUAGGGGCGGCGCGCUGAGGGCUUCGGCUCAAGGCAGGUCUGUUUCGGACCCGACCGCCCGGGUUGGCUGCUUGAGCUGCGGAGCAAUCCGCAGCCCAGACGAAUGGCUGCCCCUGCCGAUACGGUCCGGCAUGUCCGGAUACCGUCGGCGGGACAGAACCCGGCUUACAGGCCCCCUGGCACC